rnacentral:rRNA from 1 species
ACCGGCGCACGGGUGCGUAACGCGUAUGCAAUCUACCUUUUACAGGGGAAUAGCCCAGAGAAAUUUGGAUUAAUGCCCCAUAGUAUAAUUGAAUGGCAUCAUUUAAUUAUUAAAGUCACAACGGUAAAAGAUGAGCAUGCGUCCCAUUAGUUAGUUGGUAAGGUAACGGCUUACCAAGACAAUGAUGGGUAGGGGUCCUGAGAGGGAGAUCCCCCACACUGGUACUGAGACACGGACCAGACUCCUACGGGAGGCAGCAGUGAGGAAUAUUGGACAAUGGGCGCAAGCCUGAUCCAGCCAUGCCGCGUGCAGGAAGACGGUCCUAUGGAUUGUAAACUGCUUUUAUACAGGAAGAAACACUCCGACGUGUCGGAGCUUGACGGUACUGUAGGAAUAAGGAUCGGCUAACUCCGUGCCAGCAGCCGCGGUAAUACGGAGGAUCCAAGCGUUAUCCGGAAUCAUUGGGUUUAAAGGGUCCGUAGGCGGUUUAAUAAGUCAGUGGUGAAAUCUGGUCGCUCAACGAUCAAACGGCCAUUGAUACUGUUAGACUUGAAUUAUAAGGAAGUAACUAGAAUAUGUAGUGUAGCGGUGAAAUGCUUAGAUAUUACAUGGAAUACCAAUUGCGAAGGCAGGUUACUACUUAUGGAUUGACGCUGAUGGACGAAAGCGUGGGGAGCGAACAGGAUUAGAUACCCUGGUAGUC